rnacentral:lncRNA from 1 species
GUGGCUGUUCGUCGCUCUUGCCUCUCUGUUCACCUCUCUAUUUUGUUAGUUCUGAUUUUUGUUAGUUUUGAUUUGGAAUUCGGAUUUCUAUUUUGUUAGUUUUGAUUUUGUUAGUGCAACUUUUUGCUUAUGUUCUUCAGUUAUCAUGAAAUUUAGAGUUUAUUUUGUUACUGUUGAGUUUGGAGCUUUGAUUUGGAGUUGAAAUUUUGAUUUAGAGUUUCAAUUUAUGAUUUUUGUUUAGAGUUUUUGGGUUGCACAUAAGGUGUUUGAUUUUAUGUUUAUAUAAAGUAUUUGAGUUUUUUUUGUUGCACAUAAGUUGUUUGAUUUUAUGUUCAUAUAGAGUGUUUGAAUUUUUUUUGUUGCAUAGAAGGUGUUUGAGUUUUGUUGCAUUUUUGUUUGAGUUUUUUUGUCCAUAUAAAGUGUUUUAGUUUUUUUUUUUUUUUUGCAUAUAAGAUGUUUUAUGUUUCUUAAAUUGAUUGAUUUAGAUAAGUUUGUGAGAAUAAAGAAGAGUAAAAAAAUUGAUUGAUUUAGAUAAGUGUUUUAUGUUGCAUAUAAGGUUCAGAUGUUUUUAUGUCGGCCACCCCAAAAUUAUCG